rnacentral:rRNA from 1 species
UACGAGGGGGGCGAGCGUUGUUCGGAAUUAUUGGGCGUAAAGGGUGCGUAGGCGGUUCCGCAAGUCCUGUGUGAAAUCUUCGGGCUCAACUCGAAGUCUGCACGGGAAACUGCGGGGCUUGAGUGUGGGAGAGGUGAGUGGAAUUCCCGGUGUAGCGGUGAAAUGCGUAGAUAUCUGGAAGAACACCAAAGGCGAAGGCAGUGUCCUGGGUGGUCGCUGACGCUGAGAGGCGAAAGCCAGGGGAGCGAACGGG